GAGAGUAUAACUCAGUGGUAGAGUGUGUGCUCAGCAUGCACGAGGUCCUGAGUUCAAUCCCCAAGUACCCUGG
rfam:Camelus ferus unplaced genomic scaffold scaffold128, whole genome shotgun sequence.